AGCGAACGCUGGCGGCAGGCUUAACACAUGCAAGUCGAGCGGGCACUUUCGGGUGUCAGCGGCGGACGGGUGAGUAACGCGUGGGAACGUGCCCUCUGGUUCGGAAUAACUCAGGGAAACUUGAGCUAAUACCGGAUACGCCCUUUUGGGGAAAGGCUUGCUGCCGGAGGAUCGGCCCGCGUCUGAUUAGCUAGUUGGUGAGGUAACGGCUCACCAAGGCGACGAUCAGUAGCUGGUCUGAGAGGAUGGUCAGCCACACUGGGACUGAGACACGGCCCAGACUCCUACGGGAGGCAGCAGUGGGGAAUAUUGGACAAUGGGCGCAAGCCUGAUCCAGCCAUGCCGGGUGAGUGAUGAAGGCCUUAGGGUUGUAAAGCUCUUUUAUCCGGGACGAUAAUGACGGUACCGGAGGAAUAAGCCCCGGCUAACUUCGUG
rnacentral:rRNA from 1 species